rnacentral:rRNA from 1 species
AAGCUUUAUGCACCAUUGGAUGAGCCUGCACUUGAUUAGUUUGUUGGUGGGGUAAUGGCCUACCAAGACUGUGAUCAAUAGCUGAUUUGAGAGGAUGAUCAGCCACAUUGGGACUGAGACACGGCCCAAACUCCUACGGGAGGCAGCAGUGGGGAAUCUUGCACAAUGGAGGAAACUCUGAUGCAGCGAUGCCGCGUGAGUGAAGAAGGCCCUUGGGUUGUAAAGCUCUUUCGUCGGGGAAGAAAAUGACUGUACCCGAAUAAGAAGGU